GAUGAAGAACGUAGCGAAAUGCGAUACUUGGUGUGAAUUGCAGAAUCCCGUGAACCAUCGAGUCUUUGAACGCAAGUUGCGCCCGAAGCCGUCAGGCCGAGGGCACGCCUGCCUGGGCGUCACACGCCGUUGCCCCCCCGCGCCCCGCACCCAACGCUUUGGGAGCGACCGCGGGGCGGGCUGAUGAUGGCCUCCCGUGCGCUCCGCCGCGCGGUUGGCCCAAAUACCGAGUCCCCGGCGACGUGCGCCACGACGAUCGGUGGUUGAGAGACCUCUGUCGCAAGUCGUGCGCGCCCGUCGCGUCACGCGGGCUCGCAUAGCGCCUCGCGCCGCACCCGGUGCGGAGCUUUCAACGCGACCCCAGGUCAGGCGGGAUUACCCGCUGAAUUUAAGCAUAUCAUAAGCGGAGGA
rnacentral:misc_RNA from 1 species